UUUCAAUGCUGGUUUCAGAUAUCUCUAAAAUGAACGCUCAAAUCGCUCUCAAGAGCAAAAACCUUGGAUUGUGGGAGGUUAAGAGAAGCAGCCAACUAUAAAUCCGAUGAAAAUAUUCUUAUACAUAUUAACGGAAAGGACUGUGUUGCUCUUGAAGUUAAAUACAAUUGAACAUGCUACAUAAGUUAUAUAAAGUGUUUAGCAAAUAAAAAACCUAAAGUUCAUUAUUACAGUAAAUCUUUUAAUAUAUUUUCAAAUAAAAAAAAAAAAAAAAAAAAUUAAAAAGAAGAAAAUCAUGUUUAUGUCAAAGUUGUUUAGUUUGUUUGUUUCAAUUGUUUAUUGUGAAGAAAAUAUUGAUGCCAGUAAUUAUAAAGUCUCCCGUUUAAAGUCAAGGCUUUUCCACAUUUAAUUUUCCACACACCUGGUAGAAGAAACUCAAGUGAAAUAGUUUUGCUUGAAAAUCUAUCAAGUGGCCAUUUUGCUGAAAAGAGCCUUGUUUAUGAUAAUGAAACAUCACAAAGUGAGUCUUCUCAAACAGAACCUUUUUCGGAUACUGAUAAACCUCAAAAUAUCAACUAUGAAUGUGCAGAGAUGGAUUUUAUUACAACCAGAAAGAUCGUUAAUUACCCAACAAUGUAAAUUAUUUAGUGGUUAUGUUAAGGAAUUCAGUUGCAACCCUGCUCCUAUCCAGUUUAUAAAGAAAUUAGGUGAACAUAACAGAACGUCUGAUGAGAUCCAUUAUUAACCUAAGGGUUCGUAAAGAUUUUGAUAUAACAAGAAUUCGGAAAGAUGAACAAUCAGUUAUUGAUGUAAUGGAAACAGUUUCUUCAAUGAUUAAUCCAUUUGAAAAUGAAGUCACAAAUGAUCUUGUAAAUAUUGUUCCUGAAGUUGAUGCAGAUAAGGAAACUACAAAAGAUCUAGAUCGAGCAUAACGAGACAAAAACUGUAUUGAAUUUAUAAAGAAUAGCCUAAAUAGUGAUGACCCGGAUAUUUUUAUGAGAAGAAAAAUGUUAAAGCUAAAGACAUUUGCUAACUACAAAAAUUUAGUUAAAUUGUCCACAGGAAAAACUGUAAUUUUAAAAAACAAUUGUAAAUUUUGGGUUCGUCGUUUGCUUAUUGCACGUAACCGUAACAUAAAUAUGGAAGAACUAAAGUAUUCGUUGAGAGUAUUCCCGCCUCAGUUGGCAUCUUUAGACGGAUCUUUACUAAAAACAACGAAGUUGAAGCACAUGAAUAUACUCGAAGAUAAAUGUAUCGAUAAAUUAUCAGUUAAUAACUCCCAACACAACGCAUUAAUUUUGGACGGCACGGCUAUAUUGAAAAUAAUUAAACCUAUACACGAAAAUUUUGGGAAACUCAGUCGAUUGAUAUUCACAAUGAAUUAUGCUCUAAGAUAUAAGUCAAAUAGAGUUGACUUUGUUCGGACAGGUAUCCAACAACUAGUAUUAAAAACGCCAAGCGACAAAGACGAGCUGAAUCUGGUGCCCAGAAUGUUACUAUAUUUGGGCCUGAUCAAAAAGUACCGAAACAAUGGAAGAAGUUUAUGAGUGUUGGCAGCAAUAAAGAGGCCAGCUUAAGUUUCUCUUGGAAGAAUAGAAAAGUUAUGCAAUAAAUGAAAUAGAGAUAUUUAUUACACAUGGUGAUAGCACAUACUACUUCAGAAAUUCGAUUUGUACGGAAUUGCCCGAACUUCGAAGCGACCACGAAGAAGCUGAUACUCGGUUAUUGUUACAUUGUAAGCAUGCUUCGGUUUCAUAUGCUCAUGUUAUACUUGCAAGUCCCGAUACAGAUGUGUUCGUAAGUGCAUUAUACCAUAGUUGGUUCAUAUCUGCAACUCUUCAUUUUGAAACAGGAUGUGGAAACAAACAACGUAUCCUUAAUGUAAAUAAAAUCGCCAAAGAGAUUGGUUACGAUUGGUGUGAUGCAAUGAUCGGAUUCCAUUCUUUUACAGAUUGUGAUGCAGUGUCUGCUUUUCAAUGAAAAGGUAAAUUAUACGCCUUAAAGACAGCAGAAAAGAAAAAAGAAUAUUGUACAGCAUUCCGAGGUAUCGGAAUGUCACUAGAUGUAUCAGAUGAUGUUGUUAAUGGCAUACAGAAAUUUGUUUGUCACCUUUGUGGUGCAAGUAAAAAAGAUGUUGUCAGUAAA